ACAAAAUAAUAAUUACGAAUUAGACUAGAUUAAAAUACUUAUUUUUGUAUUCUUUAGUUUCCAGUGCUUCGAGUUGGUAAAAGGUGCAAUUUACCAAUAAAGAGCCAAACGAUUGUGAAGAUCUUGGAGGAGAAUGUAGUGGAUGCCGAGGAUCUAUUGGGUAUGGAAGAGACAUGGCUUACGUUUCGAGCAAGGUUGCGCUUUUCUACCAAGGAUGACAAGGUAUCGGUGGAGAUAGUUCGCUUCCACUCAACCAAGAAGGACACCUCGGACUGGAGAAUGGAUACUGCUUCAGCCACUACUGGUAACCAGUGGUUCUCCAUCAAAGGCCGAUGGGUUGGUAAACCUCUUUCAUUUGAAUUUGCUCAAACAGACUCCAAGAUGAUUACUG